rnacentral:rRNA from 1 species
GGAGGGUGCAAGCGUUAUCCGGAAUCACUGGGUUUAAAGGGGUGCGUAGGCGGCGUUAUAAGUCAGAGGUGAAAGCUUACAGCUCAACUGUAAAAUUGCCUCUGAUACUGUAGUGCUUGAAUCAGGUUGAGGUCAGCGGAAUGUGGCAUGUAGCGGUGAAAUGCAUAGAUAUGCCAUAGAACACCAAUUGCGAAGGCAGCUGACUGGGCCUGUAUUGACGCUGAGGCACGAAAGCGUGGGUAGCGAACAGGAUUAGAUACCCUGGUAGUCCACGCCCUAAACGAUGCUAACUCGAUAUGUGUCCCUUGAGGAUGCGUGUCUAAGGGAAACCAAUAAGUUAGCCACCUGGGGAGUACGUCGGCAAACGAUG